UAGUGCACAUCAAUUUUAAAUAGGUUAAACAUUAUACGGAGGAUCCAAAAAUUUCCAACGUGGUUCUUGCAGACCACGAUUAGGUAGCGGGGGACUAAUAAAUGUUACUUUGUUUCAAAAUACCAAAAAAUUUUCGAAAUUGUUUCCAAAUACUGUGAAGUUAAAAACAGGGCUUCAAAUAUUAUGAGUAGAGUAAAUUUUGUUUUAUUAAUGAGCGAUUAAUACUUGUGUAAGAUCGGAUCAUCCUUCAUUGAGCCUCAGUCACUUAAAGUUAAAUGUCCAGUGACGGCUACCUGAAACGGCUCUACGUAGUAAACAAAUAUGAAUGCCUUGUUUCACUAAAAAGAACAUUGCUCAGAUAUUUCUCUGGACUACCAAUUUCUGUACUUCAUGUGAUGCCUGUGUUGCAGCCCUCCCAAGAACCUCCCUUGUAGGUGUUCUAUGAUAAGAUUUCAAAGAUAAAGAGGAAAUGGUUCUAAUGAUAGAGAUUGUCCAUGUUGGUUUGUCUCAAUCUUUUGGAAAAC